UCGCCUCUUGCAACAAUCAAGUAUAAGAGGUCCCGCCUGCCCAGUGACUAAUUUCAACGGCCGCGGUAUCAUGACCGUGCAAAGGUAGCGUAAUCACUUGUCUUUUAAAUAAAGACCUGUAUGAAAGGCAAAACGAAAGUUCAACUGUCUCUUUAAUCCAAUCAAUAAAAUUUAUCUCUCCGUGCAGAAGCGGAAAUAAAUAUAUAAGACGAGAAGACCCUAUGGAGCUUUAAACACACUAUUAACUACUACAAUAUUUUAAACCAACAGGCAAAAAAUCAUAAACCACAUAGCCAUAAUAUAAGUUUUAGGUUGGGGCGACCGCGGAAGAAAAAAAAUCCUCCGAGAUAAACAAUUUAGAAUAACACUUCGAAAAUUAAAACAUUUAUUAUAAAUGAUCCACUAAGUGACCAACGAACCAAGUACCCUAGGA
rnacentral:rRNA from 1 species